ACUUGUUCUUUAAAUGAGGACUAGUAUGAAUGGCACCACGAGGGUUGCACUGUCUCCUUUUCCUAAUCAAUGAAACUAAUCUCCCCGUGAAGAAGCGGGGAUACUACUAUAAGACGAGAAGACCCUAUGGAGCUUUAAAUUUCUCUUCAAACGCCAGACACAUAAACAUCUGACACUUUACAUCAACCCGACGCCUUGAAGAUGAAUUUUAGGUUGGGGUGACCAUGGAGAACAAAAUAACCUCCACGCUGAAAAGGCCUCUAAGCUUUGAGCCGAGGGCUACAACCCAACGCACUAAAAAAUUAACACCCAUUGACCCAAUAUUUUUGAUCAACGAACCAAGUUACCCUAGGGAUAACAGCGCAAUCUACUUCAAGAGUCCCUAUCGACAAGUGG
rnacentral:rRNA from 1 species